rnacentral:rRNA from 1 species
UACAGAGGUCUCGAGCGUUAGGCGGAAUCACUGGGCUUAAAAGCGUGUGUAGGCGGAUCGUUAAGUACCUUGUGAAAUCCCACGGCUUAAACCGUGGAACUGCUUGGUAUACUGGCGGUCUUGAGCCAGCUAGGGGCUACCGGAACAAAUGGUGGAGCGGUGAAAUGCGUAGAUAUCAUUUGGAACGCCAAUGGUGAAAACAGGUAGCUGGGGCUGUGCUGACGCUGAGACACGAAAGCCAGGGGAGCAAACGGG